UGUUGGUUAUGUGUGCCCAAGCAUUGAGGCAGUCAAAGUAGGCAAAUCCGCUUUGAUAAUGCUGGGAUGUGAUGGGGAGCGAAAUUUAGUAGCGAAGUAGCUGAUUUCACACUGUCAAGAAAAGUCUCUAUCGAGGUUAAAGGUACCCGUACCGCAAACCGACACAGGUGGGUGAGGAGAGUAUCCUAAGGCCAGCGAGAGAACUGUUGUUAAGGAACUCGGCAAAAUGACCCCGUAACUUAGGGAUAAGGGGUGCCACCAUCAGGUGGCCGCAGAGAAUAGGCCCAAGCGACUGUUUACCAAAAACAUAGGUUUCUGCUAAGUCGCAAGACGAUGUAUAGGAGCUGACGCCUGCCCGGUGCUGGAAGGUUAAGGGGAUCUGUUAGAGCAAUCGAAGCAGUGAACUUAAGCCCCAGUAAACGGCGGCCGUAACUAUAACGGUCCUAAGGUAGCGAAAUUCCUUGUCGGGUAAGUUCCGACCCGCACGAAAGGCGUAACGAUUUGGGCACUGUCUCAACAACAGACUCGGUGAAAUUGUAAUUCCGGUGAAGAUGCCGGAUACCUGCGACAGGACGGAAAGACCCCAUGGAGCUUUACUGUAGCUUGACAUUGGGUCUUGGUACUACAUGUACAGGAUAGGUGGGAGGCUUUGAAACCAGGACGCCAGUUUUGGCGGAGCCAUCCUUGGGAUACCACCCUUGUAGUACUGGGACUCUAACCAUAGGCCAUGAAUCUGGUCUUGGGACACUGUCAGGUGGGCAGUUUGACUGGGGCGGUCGCCUCCCAAAAGGUAACGGAGGCGCUCAAAGGUUCUCUCAGUACGGUCGGAAAUCGUACGUAGAGUGUAAAGGCAAAAGAGAGCUUGAUUGCAAGACAUACAGGUCGAGCAAGGAUGAAAAUCGGACUUAGUGAUCCGGUGGUUCUGCGUGGAAGGGCCAUCGCUCAACGGAUAAAAGCUACCCUGGGGAUAACAGGCUUAUCUCCCCCAAGAGUCCACAUCGACGGGGAGGUUUGGCACCUCGAUGUCGGCUCAUCACAUCCUGGGGCUGUAGUAGGUCCCAAGGGUUGGGCUGUUCGCCCAUUAAAGUGGUACGCGAGCUGGGUUCAGAACGUCGUGAGACAGUUCGGUCCCUAUCCGUCGCAGGCGUAGGAAAUUUGAGAAGACCUGUCCUUAGUACGAGAGGACCGGGAUGGACG
rnacentral:rRNA from 1 species